CUGGCCAAAAGGUUCCAUCAGUGAAGGCCAAAUUAAACAGCAGAUGUGCCUUCAGUGGACACUGGAGCGUGCUGCUUUACGAUGCUACCUUGCAACAGUGUUCCCUGUCCCAGAUGUUAACUACAACUCCCAGCAAUCCCAGCUGUGAUGCCUGAAGUCAGAUUUCUGCCUGGGAUGCCAUUUGACCUAGGACUGGCCCUGACCCCCAGCCACAUUGUUUGACAUUGAGGAUGAUGGGAGUUGUAGUCCAACCACAGCUGCAGAGCCUCAGGCUGGUCAUCUCUGCAUUAUAUGAUGCUGAGCAAGAAUGGGCUACAGUAUAAACAUGCCCCGUAGUGAGGUUAAGAGUAUCGAUGAAUGGGGAGUGGAGUAUGGAAAGGUUAAAUAAAUAGAUACUGAGGUCAUUCACACAUUCAAAAACUGUGUUCUACCCAGGUUUGGGAGCUGUGUGUGCUCCCAAUUUUUGGUUGUGUGGAAGCAAGAUAAGAGGAAAACCUGGGCAGAAGUGACUGUGUGGAAGCAAGGUAGGAGGAAAAGCUAGCCAGGU